rnacentral:rRNA from 1 species
GACGAACGCUGGCGGCGUGCCUAAUACAUGCAAGUUGAGCGCUGAAGGUUGGUACUUGUACCAAAUGGAUGAGCCGCGAACGGGUGAGUAACGCGUGGGGAAUCUGCCUUUGAGCGGGGGACAACAUUUGGAAACGAAUGCUAAUACCGCAUAAAAACUUUAAACACAAGUUUUAAGUUUGAAAGAUGCAAUUGCAUCACUCAAAGAUGAUCCCGCGUUGUAUUAGCUAGGUGGUGAGGUAAAGGCUCACCAAGGCGAGGAUACAUAGCCGACCGGAGAGGGUGGGCGGCCAGAUUGAGACGGAGACACGGCCCAAACGCCUACAGGAGGCAGCAGUAGGGAAUCUUCGGCCAUGGACGAAAGCCUGACCGAGCAACGCCGCGUGAGUGAAGAAGGUUUUCGGAUCGUAAAACUCUGUUGGUAGAGAAGAACGUUGGUGAGAGUGGAAAGCUCAUCAAGUGACGGUAACUACCCAGAAAGGGACGGCUAACUACGUG